UUCCCAAUGGCUGAUUCAAUGCACUUUUUUACUGGUGGAGAAAGGAAAUAGACACACACAAGUGUUCCCUCAGAGCAGGGGAGUGGCUUCCCACCUAGUUGCUGGAGCCAGCUUGGGGCAGAUCUCUGUUAUUUUGAAGAAUUCCACAUUUGUCCUGCUGACAAUGUAGGGAGAGGUUAUUCUUCACUGUAGUGGCAUCAGAGGAAACUCUUAGGAGGAUUACAUUAUAUGAAUGAGUUUGAUAGGAGUCACCAUGGUGAGGAAAGGAUAAUGGAAUUUCAGGUAAGAGUUCUCCAUAAUGAAUUCAUUCCUUACAGCAUGUUAACACCCACCCAUGGAAUUAGG